ACUAGGUUGCUUACCCUUUCACCCACAUCCAAUGUAACUGUCCGUCUUAUUUAAUUUUUUUAUGAUUAGUAUUUUUAUUGUUAUCAGAUGAUAAAACAUGAACAAUACUUUAUGCGUGACUUAUUUUUUUUAAAAAAAUUUAAAUAAGACGGACGAUCAAAUGUUUGAUACGGAAAACCUAUAAUUGCACUUUAC
rfam:Oryza nivara chromosome 2, whole genome shotgun sequence.